rnacentral:rRNA from 1 species
CGAACGGGUGAGUAACGCGUGAGGAACCUGCCUCAAAGAGGGGGACAACAGUUGGAAACGACUGCUAAUACCGCAUAAGCCCACGGGUCAGCAUCGACCUGAGGGAAAAGGAGCAAUCCGCUUUGAGAUGGCCUCGCGUCCGAUUAGCUAGUUGGUGAGGUAACGGCCCACCAAGGCGACGAUCGGUAGCCGGACUGAGAGGUUGAACGGCCACAUUGGGACUGAGACACGGCCCAG